UACGAAGGGGGCUAGCGUUGCUCGGAAUUGCUGGGCGUAAAGCGCACGUAGGCGGCUCUUUAAGUCGGGGGUGAAAUCCUGGAGCUCAACUCCAGAACUGCCUUCGAUACUGAAGAGCUCGAGUCCGGGAGAGGUGAGUGGAACUGCGAGUGUAGAGGUGAAAUUCGUAGAUAUUCGCAAGAACACCAGUGGCGAAGGCGGCUCACUGGCCCGGUACUGACGCUGAGGUGCGAAAGCGUGGGGAGCAAACAGG
rnacentral:rRNA from 1 species